AACCAAAAAUAUAAUUUUCUAACAUUCAAUAUCAUAAAACACAUUCUGACUUGUGUAAUGUAAUCCCUUCUGUCUGGUUUUUAUAUUCCGUUCGUUUGAACAACAAAACGCAGCACAGAAGUCCGGCAUCGUCAUGAAUUUGAAGUACAAGACCCCUGUUCCAAGAUGGAGGCGGUUUUGACGCAUUUUUAAAACCCCGAGGUGACAUCUAGUGUAGAUAUCUAUGGAUGCAGGGCGGAAACACAGCAACAAUAAAAAGGACUUCAGGACAUGUAUCAGUGUGAAUAACAGAACAGAAGAUCCUCUGAGAUCCUCUUUUUUAUUUUCACAUUUUCUUUAUCCUGUUGUAAUUAAUUAAACCAAAAGACCUUGUCACUGGCACUGGGCUGAGAACGUUCCACAUCAACUACCUGAAGAGUCCUGAGGUUAUAAACAACACAAUGGACUGGAAGCUGGUGCUGACCGUUUUGUGUCUGACUGGUUGAACCAUUGUUCAAGAAAGCAUUUAAAAACUUCAUUCUCAUGCAAAUUAUAAAGUUUAGGAAUGGUUCUACUAUUACAGAAAGUAACCUUUUAUAUGGAUUCUAGUGCCCCAAAUGUUACUCUAACCCAAGUGAAAGACGUCUUUCUCGGUGGACUCACAAACUUCACCUUUUCAGUUAAUCCAGCCUCCAUCAUGGUCAAACAGAUUGGUCAGUAUUGACCAGGGGUCGGCAACCCAAAAUGUUCAAAGAGCCAUAUUGGACCAAAGAAAACAAAAAACAAAUCUGUCUGGAACCGCAAAAAAUAAAAAGGCUUGUUUUAAGGCAACACAGGCUGUAAGUGUAUAUUAGCUAUAUUAGCCUACUACCAAAAUGACAAAUACAUAAUGAGCAUUCAUGAUUAAAUGUUUAUUUUCCCUGCAGCGCAUCCUAAAUGGAAUGACACAUCACGUAACUACUCUGCUGUACGAUAUUUAGUGCUUUAAGUUUAACUUACAUUACAAUAUUAAUGUAUUAUGUUUUGUUGCAUUGAUAGAUUCAAUUAGAUUUAAUUCAAAUAGAUUUACAGUCAUAGAUUCUUCAUCUUUUAAUUUUACUUAAGUAGCAUCACACAUGUCAGACACACUAUACAUGUUUAUCUGGUUUUUGCCUAAAUGUUUUUAUGUUAAACUCGAUACAAAUGUAUGCGAUUAUUUGGGCAACACUUAAAAGAUAUGUUGUGCAGUACAUUUGACAUCUACACUGGCAGCUCAAAACUCUCAAUGCUGACAUGUUUUUUUUAAGAAUGUUCUAUUUUAUAUCAAAUAUUAUUGUACAAAGAUAGUGUGAGUGCUGUUUAAUAAUUGAAUGCAAUAUUGUUAAAGAUCUAGUGAAGUUAUUCCUUUAAUCACAGAGCAACUUCUUGGCAGCUACACCUUCAAAAGGUUCAUGCUGUUCAUUUAAGGAGAAGAAGAACCUUGUCAAAAUAUUGUGAGGGAAAAUACUUUCUUAUUCAGAUAUUUUAGAGACAAUCAACCCAUAUGGUUUGCACAGUAGCUUCACUUUUAUACAGGUGAAAAACAGAGGAAUCACUUUAUAAAAUGUCAGAAGGGAAAGCACAUUAUUGCCUUUUUUAGAUCUUCUAGAGAGACAUUUAAUCCUAGUAUAAUCUACACAACUACACCUUUAAACUGGUCCUGCAGAAUAGGAUAGAAUAGGAUGGAUAUAACAGCCUAAAUGUGACUGUAUGUGUGAAUGGUACACUGUGAUGGACUAGAAUUCCAUCCAAAUGUCUGUAUACUGUAUGUAAGAUAUUCUAGACUCUAAAUGUACCUACUGUAUGAGGUAUAAUAAAUCACUUAAUUCAAGCAAAUGUGCA